ACUCCUACGGGAGGCAGCAGUGGGGAAUAUUGCACAAUGGGCGCAAGCCUGAUGCAGCAACGCCGUGUGAGUGAAGAAGGUUUUCGGAUCGUAAAACUCUGUCCUAAGGGAAGAAACAAAUGACGGUACCUUAGGAGGAAGCCCCGGCUAACUACGUGCCAGCAGCCGCGGUAAUACGUAGGGGGCAAGCGUUAUCCGGAAUCACUGGGCGUAAAGGGUGCGUAGGCGGCUUAGCAAGCCAGGGGUGAAAGGCAUUGGCUCAACCAAUGUAAGCCUUUGGAACUGUUAAGCUUGAGUGCAGGAGAGGUAAGUGGAAUUCCUAGUGUAGAGGUGAAAUUCGUAGAUAUUAGGAGGAACACCAGUGGCGAAGGCGACUUACUGGACUGUAACUGACGCUGAUGCACGAAAGCGUGGGUAGCGAACAGGAUUAGAUACCCGUGGUAGACUGUCA
rnacentral:rRNA from 1 species